AUUGAACGCUGGCGGCGUGCUUAACACAUGCAAGUCGAACGGCAAAGGGGGCUUCGGCUCCCGAGUAGAGUGGCGCACGGGUGAGUAACGCGUGGAUAAUCUGCCCUCUUGUUCGGGAUAACUGCUGGAAACGGCAGCUAAUACCGGAUAAGCUCCACCAAUUGUAUGGUGGAGGAAAGGAGGCCUCUUCAUGAAAGCUUCCGCGAGGGGAUGAGUCCGCGUCCCAUUAGCUAGUUGGUGAGGUAACGGCCCACCAAGGCAACGAUGGGUAGCCGGUCUAAGAGGAUGACCGGCCACACUGGAACUGAAACACGGUCCAGACUCCUACGGGAGGCAGCAGUGGGGAAUAUUGCGCAAUGGACGAAAGUCUGACGCAGCGACGCCGCGUGAGGGAUGAAGGUUUUCGGAUCGUAAACCUCUGUCAGGAGGGAAGAAAGCGCAUGGCGCCAAUCAGCCAUGCGUUGACGGUACCUCCAAAGGAAGCGCCGGCUAACUCCGUG
rnacentral:rRNA from 1 species